CGCGGGAUAGAGCAGUGGCAGCUCGUCGGGCUCAUAACCCGGAGGUCGUAGGUUCGAAUCCUGUCCCCGCAA
rnacentral:tRNA from 1 species